rnacentral:rRNA from 1 species
UACAGAGGGUGCAAGCGUUGUUCGGAAUUACUGGGCGUAAAGCGCGUGUAGGCUGCAAGUUAAGUCGAAUGUGAAAGCCCUCAGCUUAACUGAGGAAGUGCAUCCGAUACUGGCUAGCUUGAGUGUUGGAGGGGAUGGCGGAAUUCCCGGUGUAGAGGUGAAAUUCGUAGAUAUCGGGAGGAACACCUGUGGCGAAGGCGGCCAUCUGGACAACAACUGACGCUGAGACGCGAAAGCGUGGGUAGCAAACAGG